UACAGAGGGGGCAAGCGUUGUUCGGAAUUACUGGGCGUAAAGGGCGCGUAGGCGGCCUGUUAAGUCGAACGUGAAAUCCCCGGGCUCAACCCGGGAACUGCGUCCGAUACUGGCAGGCUUGAAUCCGGGAGAGGGAUGUGGAAUUCCAGGUGUAGCGGUGAAAUGCGUAGAUAUCUGGAGGAACACCGGUGGCGAAGGCGGCAUCCUGAACCGGUAUUGACGCUGAGGCGCGAAAGCCAGGGGAGCAAACGGG
rnacentral:rRNA from 1 species